AGAGUUUGAUCCUGGCUCAGGAUGAACGCUGGCGGCGUGCCUAAUACAUGCAAGUCGAACGCACAGCGAAAGGUGCUUGCACCUUUCAAGUGAGUGGCGAACGGGUGAGUAACACGUGGACAACCUGCCUCAAGGCUGGGGAUAACAUUUGGAAACAGAUGCUAAUACCGAAUGAAACUUAGUGUCGCAUGAUACGAAGUUAAAAGGCGCUUUGGCGUCACCUAGAGAUGGAUCCGCGGUGCAUUAGUUAGUUGGUGGGGUAAAGGCCUACCAAGACAAUGAUGCAUAGCCGAGUUGAGAGACUGAUCGGCCACAUUGGGACUGAGACACGGCCCAAACUCCUACGGGAGGCUGCAGUAGGGAAUCUUCCACAAUGGGCGAAAGCCUGAUGGAGCAACGCCGCGUGUGUGAUGAAGGCUUUCGGGUCGUAAAGCACUGUUGUAUGGGAAGAACAGCUAGAAUAGGGAAUGAUUUUAGUUUGACGGUACCAUACCAGAAAGGGACGGCUAAAUACGUGCCAGCAGCCGCGGUAAUACGUAUGUCCCGAGCGUUAUCCGGAUUUAUUGGGCGUAAAGCGAGCGCAGACGGUUGAUUAAGUCUGAUGUGAAAGCCCGGAGCUCAACUCCGGAAUGGCAUUGGAAACUGGUUAACUUGAGUGUUGUAGAGGUAAGUGGAACUCCAUGUGUAGCGGUGGAAUGCGUAGAUAUAUGGAAGAACACCAGUGGCGAAGGCGGCUUACUGGACUGUAACUGACGUUGAGGCUCGAAAGUGUGGGUAGCAAACAGGAUUAGAUACCCUGGUAGUCCACACCGUAAACGAUGAACACUAGGUGUUAGGAGGUUUCCGCCUCUUAGUGCCGAAGCUAACGCAUUAAGUGUUCCGCCUGGGGAGUACGACCGCAAGGUUGAAACUCAAAGGAAUUGACGGGGGCCCGCACAAGCGGUGGAGCAUGU
rnacentral:rRNA from 1 species